rnacentral:lncRNA from 1 species
CUGCAGCAUCAAUGAUGGAAAAAAUCAAUUUUGAAAUUCCCAGAGGGGCACCUUGAAGUCCCCCCCGCAACCAUUUCUCCUCCCUAAUAACUCCCUUGUAGCCAUCUGUAAUUGCAACGCCAACCAACAGAAACAUUCAAAUCCUGCAGGAUUCAAUAAAAUCUCACCAACACCCACAACGUAAGAUAGAGCUUUUGUUAAAAUAGAACCUGAAAAUAAAAACCCUAGCUCGGGUCCAGGAGCCGUACCACGGUCACAAUCCCUCGUCAAAACACAGUGUCAAUAUGCCCAAACGUUGGCGCAUCACUCCCCUCGAACCAACGGUCCUCAUGCUGCUUCAUCUGUCUCGAAUACUCAACACCUAUGGCAUCGUUGUAGAGUUGGUGACCCACAGCUCGAGCGUUUGCAAACACUUCUAGUCCAUCCGCACGACUCCCAAAUUCGCAUAAUAUCUGCACACGGUUUCGCUUCGCAAUAACGUGUGUCGAGGUCGUCGAACCUAUCUACCGCCAUGAGUCUCCUACAAUCGUUAACGAGACUGUUUACGUGCUCGCCACUGAAAAUACUCCCAGCAUCAGUUGCACCGCGGACCUUUGAAUCCUUUUUUUUGUUCCACGUUCACGUUAGUUAGCCCCAAUCGAUUGACGAGUUCUAACCGUCCCUUAUCGCGGUCCCUUCGGCUUCCAACUAUUGUUCGUGCCGAGUUAGACAAUCCCUGCCACCCACGUCCCUCGUGGUUUCGAAUCAGCGCACCGGUCACCGGCUUUGCCAGGAUUCCCUUUGAAGCUCCCGUCCGAUUGGAGUUUGAAUAUGCCCGUGGAAGAGCUUCCACCCCACUCGUAUCCAAUUAUUGCCCCCGCCUCGCCACGAACAUACAUUUCCGGCCAUGCGAUCAACUAGAAUGUUUUUUUUGAUGAAUCAACUAGAAAUCAGAAUGUAUUUUGAUGAAUCAACGAGAAUUUACGGAUGUUUUUUGGAUGAAUCAAAGAAAAUUCAACAGAAAAGUGUUCAAGUGUUAUAUUAUAUUCUACUGUCACUAUACGUAGAAAUGAUCUAAAGCCAAACUGUUCUAAUGGAACUGAACUUCUUGUUGGCAUGCAAUACGCGGCAUCGUACUAAUCUUAGUAACGUUGACAAAAAAAAACUAGCGGAUGUUCCCUUAAUAUUUACGUUGUGUCUAUUUGGUUCUCAUGAUUACUUUUUUCAAUUUCAUCCUUAAUAGUUAUCUCACUUUUUGAUCUUUUCAAAUUUUGAAAUUUAUAUAAAUUCACAUUGAAUUUCAUUAAGAUUUUGAGUGAUCUAAACAGGGGCUAAUUUCACCUGUCCUACUAGAUGCGUCCUCCAAUUGAAAUAUUGAAAAUUAAAAACUUAAAGAAUUCCUAAUUUAUAUUGGAUUGGGACUAAAGUAUAGAAAGAUUAGAAAAUAAAAUCAUAAUCUUAUGGCGGUUCCAUAUGAGGUUGGAAUUCGAAGUCAUAGCUAUUCCUAACUGAACUAAGAUUAUUUAUCAUAAAUAUUUUAUUUUUACACAAAUAGAAAAAUACUAAAAGAAUAAUUAUCAUCCCAGUUCUAUUUCCGUAACUUACCCUUAGAUAAAUCUCAUCCUUUAUCUUUCAUACAAUUAAGUCCUAAAUAUUAAUUUAAUACAAAAAGACUACACAUAAAAAAAAAUUCAAAUUUGAAAAAAUAUAGAUAAUUUGAUAUAUCGUGAGAAACUCUCAAAUUGCACAUACAAAGCGAUUAAAACUCAGAAUAUCACAAUCUGUAAUUUCUUAUGGAUAAAUCGAUGCAAUUGAAAUAACAUUCGUCACAUUAUCCCCAAAUAACCAAACUAUAAGAACCUGCGGCCGUAAUUUCUCGUGAUUAUAAAUUUAACAUAUCACAUCAUUUGAUAUAAUAAUUUUCAUCCAAAAUUUUGUUUGCAUAACAGUUUUUACUAUCUCUCUAUUUCAUUUUAGUCCGCACUGUGCCAAUGUCGUUUAUUACCCGAGUUUUACUCUUUAAUGCAACCAAAAACACGCUCUUGUAUUGUGAUCUAUGCUACUAUCUCUAGUGGGAUCGUUGAUCUGGGUGGCGUAAAGAAAGAGGAGAGAGAGAGAGAGAGAGUCGUCUGCUCAACUGACGCCAGUACGGUGGCUCGAUCUAUUCUUCCUCUAUAUCACUCUCUCUAACCCAAAUCUUCAAAGAGUAAUUUCGAUAUCACCGGAGAGCGCGAUCGACGAAGAACGAAAGGUCUCUCUCGCUCUAUACGCAUAUGUUUCUAUUGAAUUCUGGUUGUUUGCAAGUUAUAUGAUAAUUAAUACUAAAUCAUCUGGUUGGUACAAUCCAAUUUUAUGCAAA